GAUGAACGCUGGCGGCGUGCCUAAUACAUGCAAGUCGAGCGAACGGACGAGAAGCUUGCUUCUCUGAUGUUAGCGGCGGACGGGUUAGUAACACGUUGAUAACCUACCUAUAAGACUGGGAUAACUUCGGGAAACCGGAGCUAAUACCGGAUAAUAUUUUGAACCGCAUGGUUCAAAAGUGAAAGACGGUCUUGCUGUCACUUAUAGAUGGAUCCGCGCUGCAUUAGCUAGUUGGUAAGGUAACGGCUUACCAAGGCAACGAUGCAUAGCCGACCUGAGAGGGUGAUAGGCCACACUGGAACUGAGACACGGUCCAGACUCCUAAGGGAGGCAGCAGUAGGGAAUCUGCCGCAAUGGGCGAAAGCCUGACGGAGCAACGCCGCGUGAGUGAUGAAGGUCUUCGGAUCGUAAAACUCUGUUAUUAGGGAAGAACAUAUGUGUAAGUAACUGUGCACAUCGUGACGGUACCUAAUCAGAAAGCAACGGCUAACUACGUG
rnacentral:rRNA from 1 species